rnacentral:rRNA from 1 species
GACGAACGCUGGCGGCGUGCCUAAUACAUGCAAGUCGAACGCAUUGGGGACGGGUGAGUAACACGUGGGUAACCUCCCAUCAGAGGGGAUAACACUUGGCAACAGGUGCUAAACCGAUACUGAUUGAUGGACCCGCGGUGCAUUGGCUAGUUGGUGAGGUAAAGGCUCACCAAGGCCACGAUGCAUAGGCGGUCUGAGAGGGUGAUCGGCCAAACUGGGACUGAGACACGGCCCAGACUCCAACGGGAGGCAGCAGGAGGGAAUCUUCGGCAAUGGACGAAAGUCUGACCGAGCAACGCCGCGUGAGUGAAGAAGGUUUUCGGAUCGUAAAACUAUGUUGUUAGAGAAGCGGUAUCUAACCAGAAAGCCACGGCUAACUACGUGCCAGCCGCCGCGGUAAUUC